rnacentral:rRNA from 1 species
GCGGAGGAAAAGAAACUAACAAGGAUUCCCCUAGUAACUGCGAGUGAAGCGGGAAAGCUCAAAUUUAAAAUCUGGUGGCCUUUGGCC